CCAGCUGAAGAACCUGGGCAGGUGAGUAUUGAGCCGGGACACAAAAAGGUUUAUGGACCAAGGACCCCAGAUGUCCGAGAUUGUGGAGAACAUCUCCGGAUUCAGCCUCCAGUCGCUGCCGUCCGUGAAGCAUCGGGAACUCCGAUCCGCUCGGAUGUUGUGUAGGCCCGGAAGGUACUCCGCCUGCACCAUGAUGUCCCUGGAUAGACAGUAGGACCAGAACUCCUUCACCAGACGAGCCAACGUAGCCGACUGGGUGCCACCCAAGUGAUUGACGUAGCGAACUGCCGACACAUUGUCCAUGCGCAACCUGAUGCACGCAUGGGCGAUACCAUUGGUAAAACUCCGGAU